rnacentral:rRNA from 1 species
CCUACGGGUGGCAGCAGUGGGGAAUAUUGGGCAAUGGGCGCAAGCCUGACCCAGCAAUGCCGCGUGAAGGAAGAAGGCUUUCGGGUUGUAAACUUCUUUGACAGGGGAAGAGCAGAAGACUGUACCCUGAAAACAAGCCACGGCUAACUACGUGCCAGCAGCCGCGGUAAUACGUAGGUGGCAAGCGUUGUCCGGAUUUACUGGGUGUAAAGGGCGUGUAUCCGGUAGGGCAAUUCUGAGUUGAACUCUGUAGGCUCAACCUCCAAAUUGCAUUUGACACUGUCUUUGUUGAUUUCUGGAGAUGCAGACGUAAUUCCUGGUGUAGCGGUGAAAUGCGGUGAUAUAAGGAGGAACUCCAGUGUCUAAUGUGAGCUGCUGGACAGCAACUGACGGUGAUUCGCGAAAGCGUGGGGAGCAAACAGGAUUAGAUACCCCAGUAGUC